rnacentral:tRNA from 5 species
GCUGGUGUAGCUCAAUUGGCAGAGCAGCUGAUUUGUAAUCAGCAGGUUGCGGGUUCAACUCCCUUCGCCAGCUCCG